rnacentral:rRNA from 1 species
UACGUAGGGUGCAAGCGUUGUCCGGAAUUAUUGGGCGUAAAGAGCUCGUAGGUGGCGGGUCACGUCGGGUGUGAAAGCCCACGGCUCAACCGUGGAAGGUCAUUGGAAACUGAAAGGCUUGAGUACAGAAGAGGAAAGCGGAAUUCCACGUGUAGCGGUGAAAUGCGUAGAGAUGUGGAGGAACACCAGUGGCGAAGGCGGCUUCUGGUCUGUAACUGACGCUGAGGCGCGAAAGCGUGGGGAGCAAACAGG